GUAGGUGGCAGGCGUUGUCCGGAAUUAUUGGGGCGUAAAGCGCGCGCAGGCGGUUCUUUAAGUCUGAUGUGAAAGCCCACGGGCUCAACCGUGGAGGGUCAUUGGAAACUGGAGAACUUGAGUACAGAAGAGGAAAGCGGAAUUCCACGUGUAGCGGUGAAAUGCGUAGAGAUGUGGAGGAACACCAGUGGCGAAGGCGGCUUUCUGGUCUGUAACUGACGCUGAGGCGCGAAAGCGUGGGGAGCAAACAGGAUUAGAUACCCUGGUAGUCCACGCCGUAAACGAUGAGUGCUAAGUGUUAGGGGGUUUCCGCCCCUUAGUGCUGCAGCUAACGCAUUGAGCACUCCGCCUGGGGAGUACGGCCGCAAGGCUG
rnacentral:rRNA from 1 species